UUGAGUAGAUUUAUCUUAACUAACAUCUGUGUUAAUCUAAUUUUGUCUUUUGAAUUACAGGACUGAUGCUGUUACAACUACAUUAAAAGAGAGUUUGCCAUCAAAGUGCUGGUUUUUCUAGAGAGAAAGAAGCUCUGAACUACACUUGUGAUGAAAGCCUCAUUAAGACUUGGUUUCCUUGCAUUCUCAGUUCAUUUGGAUUCUCAUGAAUAAGGGAGAGAAUUUUAACCAGCUUUGUUUUCCUUCUGCUUAUCUGGCUGCAAGUGAAAAUCCAGAGGAAGAUAGAUGCCAGCCAAGGUUUUGGCAAUGCAAUCACAUGUGAGUAGGUAAUUCUUUUUUGCACCUCUGUUGCCAG
rnacentral:lncRNA from 1 species